UAGGGAAUCUUCCACAAUGGACGCAAGUCUGAUGGAGCAACGCCGCGUGAGUGAAGAAGGUUUUCGGACCGUAAAGCUCUGUUGUUGGUGAAGAAGGAUAGAGGUAGUAACUGGCCUUUAUUUGACGGUAAUCAACCAGAAAGUCACGGCUAACUACGUGCCAGCAGCCGCGGUAAUACGUAGGUGGCAAGCGUUGUCCGGAUUUAUUGGGCGUAAAGCGAGCGCAGGCGGAAGAAUAAGUCUGAUGUGAAAGCCCUCGGCUUAACCGAGGAAUUGCAUCGGAAACUGUUUUCUUGAGUGCAGAAAGAGGAGAGUAGAACUCCAUGUGUAGCGGUGGAAUGCGUAGAUAUAUGGAAGAAUACCAGUGGCGAAGGCGGCUCUCUGGUCUGCAACUGACGCUGAGGCUCGAAAAGCAUGGGUAGCGAACAGGAUUAGAUACCCUGGUAGUCCAUGCCGUAAAACGAUGAGUGCUAAGUGUUGGGAGGCUUCCGCCUCUCAGUGCUGCAGCUAACGCAUUAAGCACUCCGCCUGGGGGAGUACGACCGCAAGGUUGAAAC
rnacentral:rRNA from 1 species